CCUACGGGAGGCAGCAGUGGGGAAUAUUGCACAAUGGGGGAAACCCUGAUGCAGCGACGCCGCGUGAGUGAAGAAGUAAUUCGUUAUGUAAAGCACUAUCAGCAGGGAAGAAAAUGACGGUACCUGAGUAAGAAGCCCCGGCUAACUACGUGCCAGCAGCCGCGGUAAUACGUAGGGGGCAAGCGUUAUCCGGAUUUACUGGGUGGAAAGGGAGCGUAGACGGCAGUGCAAGUCUGGGGUGAAAGGCGGGGGCUCAACCCCCGGACUGCUCUGGAAACUGUACGGCUGGAGUGCAGGAGAGGUAAGUGGAAUUCCUAGUGUAGCGGUGAAAUGCGUAGAUAUUAGGAGGAACACCAGUGGCGAAGGCGGCUUACUGGACUGUAACUGACGUUGAGGCUCGAAAGCGUGGGGAGCAAACAGGAUUAGAUACCCUAGUAGUC
rnacentral:rRNA from 1 species